rnacentral:rRNA from 1 species
UCCGUAGGUGAAGGUGCGG